rnacentral:hammerhead_ribozyme from 1 species
AUCCAACUGACAAGUCCUAAAUAGGACGAAACGUGAGUCCUGGAU